GUCUUUUAGAUUUAAAUUAAAAGUUUGAUCUGCCCAAUGAUUAUUGAAUGGCCGCAGUAAACUGACUGUGCAAAGGUAGCAUAAUAAUUAGUCUUUUAAUUGAAGGCUUGAAUGAACGAUUGGACGAGAAUUUAACUUUAUUUUAAUCAUUAUUUGAAUUUGAUUUUUAAGUAAAAAAGCUUAAAUAGAUAUGUGGGACGAGAAGACCCUAUAGAGCUUAAAAAACAAAUCAAUUAAUUAAUUUUGGUAUUGUCUAUUAAAUAAAUUGAUUUGUUUUUUAUGUUGGGGUGACAUUGAAAUAAUUUUAACUUUCAAUAAAUUUUUCAUUAAUUUAUGUUUUUUAGAUCCUGUUAUCAAGAUUAAAAGAGUAAGUUACCUUAGGGAUAACAGCAUAAUUAAAUUGAAGAGUUCAAAUCGAUAAUUUAGUUUGUGACCUCGAUGUUGGAUUAAGAAAAGGUUUUGGGGCAAAUUUUAUAAAAUCUUGGUCUGUUCGACCAUUAAAUUCUU
rnacentral:rRNA from 1 species